GAUGAACGCUAGCUACAGGCUUAACACAUGCAAGUCGAGGGGUAACGAGAGGAAAGCUUACUUUCCUUGUCGACGACCGGCGCACGGGUGAGUAACGCGUAUCCAACCUGCCCCCAACUAGGGAAUAACCUUGCGAAAGUAAGACUAAUACCCUAUAAUUUCCUCAGAUGUCAUCUGACGAGGAAUAAAGAUUUAUCGGUUGUGGAUGGGGAUGCGUCUGAUUAGCUUGUUGGCGGGGUAACGGCCCACCAAGGCAACGAUCAGUAGGGGUUCUGAGAGGAAGGUCCCCCACAGUGGAAAUGAGACACGGUCCAAACUCCUACGGGAGGCAGCAGUGAGGAAUAUUGGUCAAUGGGCGGAAGCCUGAACCAGCCAAGUAGCGUGCAGGAUGACGGCCCUAUGGGUUGUAAACUGCUUUUAUACAGGAAUAAAGUUAGCCACGUGUGGUUAUUUGUAGGUACUGUAUGAAUAAGGACCGGCUAAUUCCGUGCCAGCCGCCGCAGUAA
rnacentral:rRNA from 1 species